rnacentral:rRNA from 1 species
GACGAACGCUGGCGGCGUGCUUAACACAUGCAAGUCGAACGGUAAGGCCCUUCGGGGUACACGAGUGGCGAACGGGUGAGUAACACGUGGGUGAUCUGCCCUGCACUUCGGGAUAAGCCUGGGAAACUGGGUCUAAUGCCGGAUAGGACCACUGCCUGCAUGGGUGGUGGUGGAAAGCUUUUGCGGUGUGGGAUGGGCCCGCGGCCUAUCAGCUUGUUGGUGGGGUGAUGGCCUACCAAGGCGACGACGGGUAGCCGGCCUGAGAGGGUGACCGGCCACACUGGGACUGAGAUACGGCCCAGACUCCUACGGGAGGCAGCAGUGGGGAAUAUUGCACAAUGGGCGAAAGCCUGAUGCAGCGACGCCGCGUGAGGGAUGACGGCCUUCGGGUUGUAAACCUCUUUCAGCACCGACGAAGCGCAAGUGACGGUAGGUGCAGAAGAAGGACCGGCCAACUACGUGCCAGCCGCCGCCGUAAAAC